rnacentral:misc_RNA from 1 species
GAUGAAGAACGUAGCGAAAUGCGAUAAGUAAUGUGAAUUGCAGAAUUCAGUGAAUCAUCGAAUCUUUGAACGCACAUUGCGCCCGCCAGUAUUCUGGCGGGCAUGCCUGUUCGAGCGUCAUUUCAACCAUCAAGCCCCCGGCUUGUGUUGGGGACCUGCGGCUGCCGCAGGCCCUGAAAACCAGUGGCGGGCUCGCUAGUCACUCCGAGCGUAGUAAUACAUCUCGCUCAGGGCGUGCUGCGGGUUCCGGCCGUUAAAAAGCCUUAUUUACCCAAGGUUGACCUCGGAUCAGGUAGGAAGACCCGCUGAACUUAAGCAUAUCAAAGCGGAGGA